ensembl:lncRNA
UCAGGGAACAAGUAUUGGGUUAACAGCUUAUCGCUCUUAUGCAGCAAUAGACGUACAUGCAGUAUAGCCAUGAAAGUUUGUGCUAAUUUCUACAGGUGUCGCAACUGAUUACUUACCAACCAUCUGUAUAAAAGCAGUGUUGGAACAUACUGUGUUACUACACCCUCUUAAGCAUUAUUUGGACAGUAUUGCACUGCAGGAAGUAGUAAAUCGCUAUCAUAAUGGUGAGAAAAAGGCAAUUAACAAAGGAAAACAAUCCGAACUUUAUAACUGUAAAAGUCUUUCCUUUAGAGAAAUUGCAAAGAAAGCCAAGGUGUCAGUGAGUACAGUUUCUUACACCAUCAAAAGGCACUUGGAAACUGGAGGAAACUCUGACAGGAAGAGGCCCAAAGGCAGGCCCACAGCCACAAAAAAAUAAGUAUCUGAGUGUCAACAGCUUGCGUGAUAGGUGGCUCACAGGACUAAAGCUGCAAGCACAGCUUAACACUGGUCAAAGUAAGCAAGUCUCAGUUUCAACUGCGAAAAGUAGACUUAGUGGCAGUAAGAAAGCCAUUGCUAAGAUGGCAAAAUAAGAAAGAGGCUUGCCUGGGCCAUGAAGCAUCGCCAGUGGACUACUGAAGACAGGAAGAAGGACUUCUGGACUGAUGAAUCAAAAUCUUCGGUUCAGCACACAAGGUUUUUGUACAUCGUCAAGUAGGCAAAUGGAGGGGAAAGUGUGAUGGUCUGGGGCUCUAUUACCCGAGGCAGAGCUACGUCAGAACUACCUUAGAAGAAAAGAACAAGACGGUAAUCUACAAAUUAUGGAAUGGCCAGCAAAGUCUACAGACUUAAACCCCUUCGAGCUGGAUUGGGAUGAACUGGGCAGUAGGGUGAAAGCAAAGCUAAGUUCAACACAUUUGUGGGAACGUCUACAAGAAUGGUGGGAAGAAUUUUCUGAACAACUUUAGAUUUUCAUUGUAGAAUGAAUACCACAAGUGUUUUUGUCUGCAGAAUGCUACCUGG